CCCUUAGAUGUUCUGGGCUGCACGCGUGCUACACUGAUUAUUUCAACAAGUGUUUUAACUGGAGAGUUCGCGUAAUCCUGAAAUGUUAUCGUGAUGGGAGUAGAGUAUUGUAUUUGUUAAUCUUUAACGAGGAAUUCCUAGUAAGUGUAGGUUUAUAAGUUGUUCUGAUUACGUCCCUGCCCUUUGUACACACCGCCCGUCACUCCUACCGAUUGAUUGAUCCGGUGAAUAAUUCAGACUGCAGCAGCAUCCAGUUCCUGGAAGUUGUAGCGGAAAGUUUCGUGAACCUUAUCACUUAGAGGAAGGAGAAGUCGUAACA
rnacentral:rRNA from 1 species